CAACAGGCCUUUUGUAAGUAAUUCUGUAAGGCCACAUCAUUUUGAUUUAAAAUUGGUG
rfam:Charadrius vociferus contig25522, whole genome shotgun sequence.